ACGGCUCAGUAACACGUAGUCAACAUGCCCAGGGGACGUGGAUAACCUCGGGAAACUGAGGAUAAACCGCGAUAAGUCACUACUCCUGGAAUGGGUAAUGACUAAAAUCUAUAUGGCCCCUGGAUUGGACUGCGGCCGAUCAGGCUGUUGGUGAGGUAAUGGCCCACCAAACCUGUAACCGGUACGGGCUCUGAGAGGAGGAGCCCGGAGAUGGGCACUGAGACAAGGGCCCAGGCCCUAUGGGGCGCAGCAGGCGCGAAACCUCUGCAAUAGGCGAAAGCCUGACAGGGUUACUCUGAGUGAUUUCCGUUAAGGAGAUCUUUUGGCACCUCUAAAAAUGGUGCAGAAUAAGGGGUGGGCAAGUCUGGUGUCAGCCGCCGCGGUAAUACCAGCACCCCAAGUGGUCGGGACGUUUAUUGGGCCUAAAGCAUCCGUAGCCGGUUCUACAAGUCUUCCGUUAAAUCCACCUGCUUAACAGAUGGGCUGCGGAAGAUACUAUAGAGCUAGGAGGCGGGAGAGGCAAGCGGUACUCGAUGGGUAGGGGUAAAAUCCGUUGAUCCAUUGAAGACCACCAGUGGCGAAGGCGGCUUGCCAGAACGCGCUCGACGGUGAGGGAUGAAAGCUGGGGGAGCAAACCGGAUUAGAUACCCGGGUAGUCCCAGCUGUAAACGAUGCAGACUCGGUGAUGAGUUGGCUUCUUGCCAACUCAGUGCCGCAGGGAAGCCGUUAAGUUUGCCGCCUGGGGAGUACGGUCGCAAGACUGAAACUUAAAGGAAUUGGCGGGGGAG
rnacentral:rRNA from 1 species